GACGAACGCUGGCGGCGUGCCUAAUACAUGCAAGUCGAACGCAUUUUCUUUCACCGUAGCUUGCUACACCGAAAGAAAAUGAGUGGCGAACGGGUGAGUAACACGUGGGUAACCUGCCCAUCAGCGGGGGAUAACACUUGGAAACAGGUGCUAAUACCGCAUAAUUCCAUUUACCGCAUGGUAAAUGGAUGAAAGGCGCUUUUGCGUCACUGAUGGAUGGACCCGCGGUGCAUUAGCUAGUUGGUGGGGUAACGGCCUACCAAGGCUGCGAUGCAUAGCCGGCCUGGAAGGGUGAUCGGCCACACUGGGACUGAGACACGGCCCAGACUCCUACGGGAGGCAGCAGUAGGGAAUCUUCGGCAAUGGACGCAAGUCUGACCGAGCAACGCCGCGUGAGUGAAGAAGGUUUUCGGAUCGUAAAACUCUGUUGUUAGAGAAGAACAAGGAUGAGAGUGGAAAGUUCAUCCCUUGACGGUAUCUAACCAGAAAGCCACGGCUAACUACGUG
rnacentral:rRNA from 1 species